AACAUCGCGCACCUGCGGGAACCUGCGGAGGGAUCAUUACCGAGUUUCCAAAACUCCCAACCCAUGUGAACUUACCUCUCGUUGCCUCGGCGGGAUCGCCCCGGGUGCCCCAGGCCCCGGACCCAGGCGCCCGCCGCAGGACCCCAAACUCUUGUUUAGUGGAAGCUUCUUCUGAGUGAGAAAACAAAUAAAUCAAAACUUUCAACAACGGAUCU
rnacentral:misc_RNA from 1 species